rnacentral:rRNA from 1 species
UACAGAGGGUGCGAGCGUUAAUCGGAAUUACUGGGCGUAAAGCGUGCGUAGACGGCUAUCUAAGUCGGGUGUGAAAGCCCCGGGCUCAACCUGGGAAUUGCAUUCGAGACUGAAUAGCUAGGGUACGGUAGAGGGAAGCGGAAUUUCCGGUGUAGCGGUGAAAUGCGUAGAUAUCGGAAGGAACAUCAGUGGCGAAAGCGGCUUCCUGGACCAGUACCGACGUUCAGGCACGAAAGCGUGAGGAGCAAACAGG